CCAAUAGCGUAUAUUAAAGUUGUUGCAGUUAAAAAGCUCGUAGUUGAAUUUCGGGAUCAAUAUGCCGGUCAUGCCUUGGUAUGCACUGGUAUCUUUGAUUUCUUCCUUUUGACGAACUUUGAUGUCAUUAAUUUGGUGUCAUAGGGAAUCAGGACUGUUACUUUGAAAAAAUUAGAGUGUUUAAAGCAGGCUCAGGCUUG
rnacentral:rRNA from 1 species